rnacentral:rRNA from 1 species
GAUGAACGCUGGCGGCGUGCCUAAUACAUGCAAGUCGAGCGAACAGACUAGGAGCUUGCUCCUCUGACGUUAGCUGCUGACGGGUGAGUAACACGUGGAUAACCUACCUAUAGGUCUGGGAUAACUUCGGGAAACCGGGCCGAAUACCGGGUCAGAUAUUACACCGUAUGGUCCAAUAGUUAAAUACGGUUUUGUGGUCACUUAUAGUGGUAUCCGCGCCGCAUGCGCUAGUUGGUAAGGUAGCGGCUUACCAAGGCAACGAUGCGUAGCCGACCUGAGAGCGUGGUCGGGCACACUAGAACUGAGACACGGUGCAGACUUCUACGGGAGGCAGCAGCAGGGAAUCUUACGCAAUGGGGGAGAGCCUGACGGAGCAACGCGGCGUGAGUGAUGAAGGUCCUCGGAUCGGAAAACUAUGUUAUUAGGGAAGAACAAAUGUGUAAGUAACUAUGCACGUCUUGACGGUACCUAAUCAGAAGGCCACGGCUAACUACGUG